AUUGAACGCUGGCGGCGUGCUUAACACAUGCAAGUCGUGCGGUAACAGGCGUAGCAAUACGUGCUGACGAGCGGCGAACGGGUGCGUAAUACAUGGGAAUCUGCCUUUUAGUGGGGAUAACCCGGCGAAAGCCGGGCUAAUGCCGCAUAAGAUCUUCGGAUGAAAGCGGGGGAGUCGUAAGACCUCGCGCUGAUAGAUGA
rnacentral:rRNA from 1 species